rnacentral:rRNA from 1 species
UACAGAGGUCUCGAGCGUUGUUCGGAUUCAUUGGGCGUAAAGGGUGCGUAGGCGGCGAGGUAAGUCCGCUGUGAAAUCCCCGAGCUCAACUUGGGAAUUGCAGUGGAUACUGGCAAGCUGGAGUAUGGUAGAGGAAGGUGGAAUUCCCGGUGUAGCAGUGAAAUGCGUAGAGAUCGGGAGGAACACCAGUGGCGAAGGCGGCCUUCUGGACCAAUACUGACGCUCAUGCACGAAAGCGUGGGGAGCAAACAGG